GUCCAGACUCCUACGGGAGGCAGCAGUGGGGAAUAUUGCACAAUGGGGGAAACCCUGAUGCAGCGACGCCGCGUGAGUGAAGAAGUAUUUCGGUAUGUAAAGCUCUAUCAGCAGGGAAGAUAAUGACGGUACCUGAGUAAGAAGCCCCGGCUAACUACGUGCCAGCAGCCGCGGUAAUACGUAGGGGGCAAGCGUUAUCCGGAUUUACUGGGUGUAAAGGGAGCGUAGACGGCAUGGCAAGUCUGAAGUGAAAGCCCGGGGCUCAACCGCGGGACUGCUUUGGAAACUGUUAAGCUGGAGUGCAGGAGAGGUAAGUGGAAUUCCUAGUGUAGCGGUGAAAUGCGUAGAUAUUAGGAGGAACACCAGUGGCGAAGGCGGCUUACUGGACUGUAACUGACGUUGAGGCUCGAAAGCGUGGGGAGCAAACAGGAUUAGAUACCCGUGUAAC
rnacentral:rRNA from 1 species